rnacentral:rRNA from 1 species
UCCGCAGGCGGGUGACUAAGUCGGUGGUGAAAUCCUUCAGCUUAACUGAAGAACUGCCGCCGAUACUGGUUGUCUUGAAUACAGGAGAGGGCAACGGAAUUCCAGGUGUAGCGGUGAAAUGCUUAGAUAUCUGGAAGAACACCGGUAGCGAAGGCUGUUGCCUGGCCUGGUAUUGACGCUCAUGGACGAAAGCGGUGGGGAUCAAACA